UACGAAGGUCCCAAGCGUUAUCCGGUGUUAUUAGGCGUAAAGCGUCCGCAGGUGGUUUGGCGCAUCUCUGGUCAAAUCAUACGGCCCAACCGUAUGACUGCCGGAGAGAUGGCCAAACUUGAGGCAGGGAGAGGCACGUGGAAUGGCUGGUGUAGGAGUAAAAUCCGUUAAUCUCAGCCAGAACACCAAAUGCGAAGGCAGCGUGCUGGAACUGUCCUGACACUCAGGGACGAAAGCGUGGGUAGCGAAUGGG
rnacentral:misc_RNA from 1 species